CGAACGGAGUUGUAGCAAUACAGCUUAGUGGCGGACGGGUGAGUAACACGUGAGCAACCAAUCCGAUACAGGGGGAUAACACUGUGAAAACAGUGCUAAUACCGCAUAAGACCACGGGGACGAAUGUCCAAGAGGUCAAAGGAGCAAUUCGGUAUCGGGCGGGCUCGCGUCCCAUUAGAUAGUUGGCGGGGUAACAGCCCACCAAGUCGACGAUGGGUAACCGGACUGAGAGGUUGUACGGUCACACUGGGACUGAGACACGGCCCAGACUCCUACGGGAGGCAGCAGUGGG
rnacentral:misc_RNA from 1 species